rnacentral:rRNA from 1 species
CCUACGGGCGGCAGCAGUGGGGAAUAUUGCACAAUGGGCGCAAGCCUGAUGCAGCCAUGCCGCGUGUGUGAAGAAGGCCUCCGGGUUGUAAAGCACUUUCAGCGGGGAGGAAGGCGUUAAGGUUAAUAACCUUGUCGAUUGACGCUACCCGCAGAAGAAGCACCGGCUAACUCCGUGCCAGCAGCCGCGGUAAUACGGAGGGUGCAAGCGUUAAUCGGAAUUACUGGGCGUAAAGCGCACGCAGGCGGUCUGUCAAGUCGGAUGUGAAAUCCCCGGGCUCAACCUGGGAACUGCAUUCGAAACUGGCAGGCUAGAGUCUUGUAGAGGGGGGUAGAAUUCCAGGUGUAGCGGUGAAAUGCGUAGAGAUCUGGAGGAAUACCGGUGGCGAAGGCGGCCCCCUGGACAAAGACUGACGCUCAGGUGCGAAAGCGCGGGGAGCAAACAGGAUUAGAUACCCGAGUAGUC